AACCUUCCCCAAUCUCCUAUUUUGACGGCGGUGGUGACGAUAAGGAAGAGCAAGAGAAGAGAAAAGAACAAAGAGACGCAAUUUUUGGACCUAGCAGGUUUGACCGUUAUCAAUGUCGCCGCCGUCGUCGAGAGAAAUUGCUUGGACAUGUUAGAUAGGCCAUUGCUGUAAUUGGGACUGGGUUAGCCUCGGGUUGUACGGAUUCGGGUUUGAUUUGGAGAUUGUAGAAGAUGAGGUGUGGUGGUGCUGACCUUCUUCUCUUUCUCUUGUUGGGGUUUGGGGGUGGGGAACGGGGAAGAAGACCGUUCUUC
rnacentral:lncRNA from 1 species